rnacentral:rRNA from 1 species
AAUGGGAUGCGAAUCUCGAAAGCCUGUCUCAGUUCGGAUUGGAGGCUGAAACCCGCCUCCAUGAAGUUGGAUUCGCUAGUAAUCGCGCAUCAGCCAUGGCGCGGUGAAUACGUUCCCGGGCCUUGUACACACCGCCCGUCAAGCCAUGGGAGCCGGGGGUGCCUGAAGUUCGUGACCGCAAGGAGCGACCUAGGGCAAAACUGGUGACUGGGGCUAAGUCGUAACAAGGUACC